AUUGAACGCUGGCGGCAUGCCUAACACAUGCAAGUCGAACGGCAGCACAGUAUUCGCUUUCGCGUACGGGUGGCAACUGGCGGACGGUUCAUGGAUACAUCCGAAUCUACGGUUUCUAGGGCGGUAACGGCCGGAUUCUUACCCCAAUCCCCCAUACGACCUACGCGUGAAACCAUAAGACCUUGCGCCCUUGCGGUAGUCAAUGUGCCGAUGUCGGAUUAGCUAGUUGGCGGGGUAAAAGCCCACCAAGGCGACGCUCCGUAGCUGGUCUGAGAGGAUGAUCAGCCACACUGGAACUGAGACACGGACCAGACUCCUCCGGGAGGCAGCAGUGGGGAAUAUUGGACAAUGGGCGCAAGCCUGAUCCAGCCAUGCCGCGUGGGUGAAGAAGGCCUUCGGGUUGUAAAGCGCUUUUGUUGGGAAAGAAAACCAGCGGGUUAAUACCCCGGUGUUAUGACGGUACCCGAAGAAUAAGCACCGGCUAACUUCGUG
rnacentral:rRNA from 1 species